UGGCCAAGUGGUAAGGCGGCGGGUUUUGGUCCUGUUACUCGAAGGUUCGAAUCCUUU
rnacentral:tRNA from 1 species